AUUCUCGCAGGAUAUGUCAGGAAAUAUGUUUAAGCAUUCAUUCAGACAUUGAUGAAGAAAUUACAACCAAAAAAUUAUGGAGUAAAAGAAUUUAAUAGAUACAUUGAACAAAUCAAACAGUAUGGAAUAAAAUGAUAGGACAAAUAAGAAUAAUGUACCCUGAAAACAGAUGGAAUUGCAUUCUCGCAGGAUAUAUCAGGAAAUAUGUUUGAGCAUUUAAUCAGACAUUGAUGAGGAAAUUACAAGCAUAA